rnacentral:rRNA from 1 species
GUCCUCUUGUUUUAUAUAUGAGGUCUGACCUGCCCAGUGAAAAUUAUUUUAACGGCCGCGGUAUUUUGACCGUGCAAAGGUAGCAUAAUCAUUAGUCUUUUAAUAGGAGGCUGGAAUGAAGGGUUUGACGAGGUAUUGACUGUCUCAUUUAAUUUGAAAUUAAAAUUUAACUUUUCAGUUAAAAGGCUGAAAUUGUAUUGGAAGACGAGAAGACCCUAUAGAGCUUUAUAUUUAAAAUUAAUAAUAAAUUUUUGUUUAUUAUUAUUUCUUAUUAUUUUAAUUAUUUUGUUGGGGUGACAAAAAUAUAUAAAUAACUUUUUUAUUUAAAUAACAUUGAUUUAUGAUUAUUAGAUCCAGUCUUAUUGAUUGUUAGAUUAAGUUACCUUAGGGAUAACAGCGUAAUCUUCCUUCAGAGUUCAUAUUUACAGGAAGGAUUGCGACCUCGAUGUUGGAUUAAGAUAAUAAUUAGGUGUAGCCGCUUAAUAUAUAGGUCUGUUCGACCUUUAAAUUCUU